UCCCUGAGUGCCGCCGCCUCGUGCUUGUCCUGCCCUUGUGGGGCCACAGUGCCCAGAGGGCAAAUCGCACAGCUGUGGUGCUACUGCCGCCAGGCAUUCUUGGUCUUCUGUUGUUUCUGGGGCCUGGAUUGCCUCCAGUCAGCAAGGAUUGUUCCCAAACGUCAUCCCCUGGCUCUGGAACUCGAUGAAGUUGUGUUCCUUGAAGUCCAGGACAGGAAAAACCAUUUAAGUGGGCCCCGUGAUGUCAGAAGCUUUGGUGUUUGAGCAGCCAAAGCCAAGAGGCUCUUGCCCCGGAGGUCUGCAGUGGAGGGCCCUGGUCCUGCCCAUGCUGUGGGGAGGCUAGUACUUGAGAAGCACUUAUGGAGCACUUUCGCUGCUCAAGAAAUUCCAGGAAGAACAAGCUGCCUAGCUGCUCAGUUCAGAGGCCAGAGAUACUCUCUGGCAGUGGCACAAGAGGAGGACAACAAACAGGACAAUACCUUCAGUUGAUGAU